rnacentral:rRNA from 1 species
UACGAAGGGGGCUAGCGUUGCUCGGAAUCACUGGGCGUAAAGCGCACGUAGGCGGCUUUCUAAGUCAGGGGUGAAAUCCUGGAGCUCAACUCCAGAACUGCCUUUGAUACUGGAAAGCUUGAGUUCGGGAGAGGUGAGUGGAACUGCGAGUGUAGAGGUGAAAUUCGUAGAUAUUCGCAAGAACACCAGUGGCGAAGGCGGCUCACUGGCCCGAUACUGACGCUGAGGUGCGAAA